rfam:TPA: Bos taurus chromosome 8, whole genome shotgun sequence.
UUCCCAGUGGUCUAGUGGUUAGGACUCGGCACUUUCACUCCUGUGGCCCAGGUUCAAUCCCUGGUUGGGGAA